ACUUGAUAGCCCAAACCAUAGGAAAAAAAAAAGAAGAAAAAUACCAAGCAAAUCGGUACAUAGGACAGAAGUCACAAAUCGGUCUUUUCAAUGUGAUUCGUUCUACAAAAAAGAAAAGAAAAAGAGAACUCAGUUGAAGUUGAUGCAUUGAAACUUAAGCUCAACUGAAUCCCAAUGGUGUUGAACAGCUUGAUAGCGGUGUCAGUGGCACACGUGUCAGCAGAAGCAUGGCAGCGAGCGUCGUGCAUCAGUGACAAUGAUCGCGUCAGCAGCAGCCAGCUCUUGGAUCUCGUUUGCUGUUUCCCUCUCCACCAAUUCGGUCGUUUCGCUCUCUUCCUUUGGACCUUCCUCUGUUUCUCUCCUCCCCCUCUCGACUAUUACUAUUAUUACGACGAAGACGAAGAUGAUUAAUUUCUAAUUCUUCUUCCGAGAUUGCAAUACGCUACUUGCAUGAUCGUUGUGAAGCGACGUAGCGGCUUACUCUUGUUUGUAGGAGAUUGUGGAUCACUCUUAUGGUUUCAUAUUCAGUCUUCUUUCGCAGGAACUACUCAUCUGGGGCUACAGACACAAAAAGAAGGCUAAACAACAACCACUCUUGGAAAUUUAACUCCUCUUAUAUUUGCGAGAAGAUGCAUCAUCAACAGUGACGGGAGAUGCCUAAAAACGGUGACUCUCUCUUCCAUUGUGUGUCCAUGCUUCGCCAUUGAAUCAGCACAAAAGUUUGAUUCUCUAUAGACAUGGCUGAUUUUUAUCUUUUCCAACCUGGUUUCAAGCUCCUUGAUCGAACGAGCCAGAGACGAGUUCGUGUGAGCUUCAACUGAAGACACCCCCACAAUGGUGAUAAUGCAGUGAGAGUCCGAUUCCACCUUCAGAUUGGAAAUACCCAUCUCAACUGCAAGCUUGAUACCAAGAUACAUCCUCUAAAGUUCCGUCAUCUCAACUUUGCUUGAUCCCAAGAUACAUCUCCUAAAGUUCCGCCGUUGUUAUGCUGCAGCAGCCUAUAUUCAUGCAAAACCCUGCAAUGCUUUUAAUUGCAAUGCUUUUUCAGGAAAAGUUUUUUCCUUUUGGAAAACUAAUUGGGAAAUGUAAAGACACGUAAAACGUCAUUUUGUAAAG